GCGGCAUUGGUUCAAUGGCAGAAUAAAAGCUUCCCAAGCUUUGGACGCGGGUUCGAUUCCCGUAUGCCGCU
rnacentral:tRNA from 1 species